GAGCUAACUGCUGCCAGUCUUCUUCUUUUUGCUGAGGAAGGCUGGCCCUGAGCUAACCUCUGUGCCCCUCUUCCUCUACUUUAUAUGUGGGACACCCACCACAGCAUGGCGUGCCAAGCGGUGCCAUGUCCACACCUGGGAUCCAAACCGGCGAACCCCGGGCCACUGAGAAGCAGAACGUGCGAACUUAACCACUUUGCCACCAGGCCGGCCCCUCCAUGGCAUUUUCUGCAUAGACAAUCAUGUCAUCUGCAAAUAGAGACAAUUUUAUUUCUUUCAGUCCAAUAUGUAUGCAUUUUAUUUCCUUUGCAUGCCUUAGUGCACAGGUAGAAUUUCCUGUACUAUGUUAAAGUGGUGAGAGUGAACAUUUUUGCCAUUUUCUCAAACUUAGAGGGGAAGCAUUGAAUCUUUCAGCAUUAAGUAUAAUGUUAGCUGUAGGGUUUUUGUAGCUGUUCUUCAUUAAGUUAAGGAAAUUUCUGUCUACUCCUAUUUUCCUGAGAGUUUUUAUCAUGGAAGAGUGUUGAAUUUGAUCAGAUGGUGAGAGCUUUUACGCCACUUUGGUUAAACAGCUAGUCAAGUAGUUUCUUAGUGACCCUUGAUCCUAUUUUCCAAGUAUUCAAAAUUGUGACAACUUUGAUAAUUUGCCUUCCAAAAUCAAAUCCUAAAUGAAAUCUUCUUGAUCUGAAACUGACUUUGAGAUUUCCUAGAGGCCCCCUGGAAAAUAAAAAAGGAUUCAUUCUUUCACCUUGUAAAAACAGAUGCUAAAAAUAAUUAGGUUUAUUUGAUAUGUUGAGUUGCACACAAAGUCUUGUCAAAUAAGAAGAAAUGCUUAGCCUUCACUAGGUUAUAUAUGUAUGAGUCAAAUGUUAUUAAUAUAAAUAUUUCAUGUACUGCAUAAAGUUCCUAGAAAUUUGUCAAUGUCCUUCUUGUCAAUGACAUGUCCAGGGACUGCUUUGUCUGAUGUUAGACAACAAUAGUUACCAGGCAUAGUUCCAGCUAUUACUUUGAAAUGUUGUAUGCCACAGAAACAACCACAUUGCCUUGUUAAAGGAACUCUUAUCAGAUCUGUAACCACAUCAUUUUAAGUCUUUUGCCACCCACAGAUAGUUUUUGUUUUACUCUGAUACUUCCCUGAAAGUGCUUACAAUCAACUUCAGGCCAGAAUACCUAUCUCCAGCCAAAAGGGAUGGUCUCAGAGUUCAUGGAAAGGGCUGUGCCAGGUCCUCUGGGGCACAGGGUUCUGAUGGUGUCGCUUAAACAACUUAGACCCACACAGUUGGACUGAGUCAGGAUUUCCAGAACUCUAGUAGAGAAAUGAACGGGUUCAUGAACCUGCUAAGUCAAGAUCAAGCAUAACAAAAAUUAAUAACAUAGGGCUAAAUUAACUGAUGAAGGGUGAUUCUGGCUUUUGUUUGGAAUAUUGAUGAUGCUUUAAUGUUCUAUUUUCUGGAUAUAAAGAACUCUUUUUUUUCUUAAAUUAUCUAUAAAUCAUAACAAUUUAGAGUAUAAAUUGUUAUAAAAGUAUAACAGAUUAUACUUUUGUAAACAGAAAUAAAACAUUUAUCUUUUUCUCCUUGCCUGAUCCCUCCAGAAUUCAGAAACUCUUAGUGAGUAUUCUAAUUUUCAUGGCAUAUAAUUAUUUGCAUAGGUUCAAUAAGAAUCUGACCUCCUUGUAACAGGAUACAAUUUAUUUAAAAAGAUUAUAUAACCAAAGCUUUGACUGAAAUGUCAUAUUUGAGAAUGAUGCAUAGAAUCAGAUAUGACUCAUUUUAAAGAACCAAGGUUGACUUUAUGGAGCCCAUGUUUACAAAACCCUCUUGGGAAAAGCUUGCUUACAAGGUUCUUAGCUUUACAAAUGAAUAAAGAUGGUUACUUCCUGGCAGGCCCAGGAUAUUUUGGGGUCCCUGAGAAGAGAGGAAUUCACCCAAAUCUCUUACGUGUUUCAGGUAAAGUCUAUUGGUAAGUUCUUGGCUUAGCUUCCUAGCCUCAAGAGGCUUUUAAAAGUCCAAUCUGAGGUUUCUUAAGAAAAGUUCCAGCAAAGCAAACUAAAAAUGGUGUAUGUGGUUAAUUACCAUUCUUUCUGUGCUUAUGAAAAGAAUCAGGGCAAAUCUAAUAAGAUUGGACACGUGUAAACAAGAAUAAUAUUACUUUUAUUAUCUGGUCCAAAGGGAAGAUGACCGUACAAAUGUUGUAUUUCAAUAGAAAACUAUAGCACACCCUAUGGCUUAUCAGAUCCUCAUCCUGUUCAUUGUCUUUAAGCUGUUUCUCACCUCUUUAUAAACUGCCUAGUUUUGUUACCUACCUAUAAAUUGGACUGGAUCCUGCUCUCUUGUACAUUUUGUCAUUCAUUAUCAAAUUCUCAAUUCUACUUUCCUUCAACGUCUGGCUACAACUCUCCAAACUAAUGUUUCCAAUUUUUCUCCCAUCCUCCUGACUUGGUGUCAAUCAGAACUAAAACCUGACUGCCCAGGUCUUUACUGGGACUCUAGAUUGUCUUGUACUGGCUUUUCUCCAAGGAUCUAAAGGAGCACAAUGAGCUGAAGGUGGGUGGCUUGAUGGAUAUGUCAAAGGACUCAUCACCAUAGUGGCUCAUGUGGACAGUCUUGGUGACUGGAGCUGCUGCUCUGUGGUCCACUCAGAAAGUUCCCUGGAAGUCCCACAUCUUCCAUGCCCUGCUCCAGGAAAUACUACUCAUGACUAUGGACAAGCUUACUCAAACUUCUCAGAUGUCUAUGCCACCACCAAAAACAUUUAAGCUGCUAACCAGGAAAUCUAUCACAUUGCCACUGCCAUUCUCACUCAACUAUCUAAAGACUCUUUGAGUCCAGUGUAUAAAAAUCUUCUCAACUGGCUGCCCUUUUGUCUCAGAAACUGGGUUUAUAAUCUGUUCCAACCAUUAAUCUUAUUCUCUUUCUUCCCGCAGAAACUCCCCUCGUUAAUGCCUGAUUUCUUGCACCCUUCAACAAGUGUUCUAUACUGUUAAGUCUCAACAGAUGAUUCAGUUGUACUUCAACCACAGAAAUGUGCUGAAACAAACUACGUAGACGAGCUUUCCUAAAUUGUUCAAUGGGAACAAGGAUUUCCCUUGAACAAAAAGGGGGACUGACUGAUAUGACCUUGACAUUCCUCUUAGGUUGACUAAACUUUAGACAGCUUUCUUCUCAACAAUAGGCCCCGACCACCUUUUUCUUAGAGUUUUUAUUUUAGAAAGUUUGUAACUGCAAAUUCUUUCUCUGCCUCUCUGAAAUGUAUAUAAAUUUUCUCUCAGCCUGUUGCAAGAUUUAUAAUCCAGAACUGUUGUUCUCAAGGACCUGGGAGCCAUCCCUUUGAAAUGUAAUCAAGAAAGACAAGGCCCCUAUCUCCCAGUCUCUGUGGGAGAGUGCACAAUCUUGAUAAGCUAACCUUGAUAAGCACCAAUCAGUAAACACAGAUGGCCAAAUCACGUUGCCCAAUCUCCCCGAAUACAUCCGCCAGUACUUUUUCACUAGCUCUCCCCAGCAGUUAAAAACUCUCCUGUCUUUUAUUUCAACAGAACUGAGUUCAAUCAAUCUUCCCCAAUGCAAUAGUCUUAAUUCCUAAUAGAAUAAGUCUUGAGUAAAAUCUUCCUUGCCUCUUUAUCUCUGUCUGGUGCAAUUUUUCAUUGACAUCCUCCAGUCUACUGUUGAGCGCAUCCUCUGAGGUUUUUUCUUUUUUUUAAAAUUUUGGUUAUUGUAUUUUUCAGUUCUAAAAUUCCCAUGUGAUUCUUAUAUCUUCUAUUUCUUUGCUGAGAUUUUCUAUUUUUCUUCUUUUCCAGGGUGCUCAUAAUUGCUUGUUGAAGCAUUUUUUAUGAUAGCUGCUUGAAAUCAUUGUCAGAUAAUUGCAAUAUCUCUUGGUGUGGCAUCUAUUGGUUCUCUUUUUUAAAAUUCAGUUUGAGAUCUUCCUGGUACUUGGUAGGAUGAGUGAUUUGUUACUAAAAUUUGGAAAUUUUGAUAGCUAUAAAUGAUUACAUUAAAAGAGAUGAAAGAUCUCAAACCAACAACCUAACUUUACAUUUUAAGGAACCAGAAAAGGGAGAGCAAACUAAACCCAAAGCUAUUAGAAAGAAGGAAAUAAUAAAGAUUAGGGUGGAGAUAAUUUUAAAAAGUGAAAGAGAGAGUAGAAAAACAAUAGAUAAAAUCAAUAAAAUUAAGAGUUAGUUCUUCAAAAAUAUCAUCAAAAUUGACAAACUUUUAGCUAGAUUGACAAGAAAAAGAGAGUAGCAAACUGAAUUCAGCAGCCUAUUAAAAGGAUUAUAUACCAUGACCAAGUGGGAUUUACUCCUGGAAUACAAUGAUGGCUCAACAUAUGAAACUCAAUCAAUAUAAUACAUCACAUUAACAGAAUGAAGGAAAAAACCCACAUGAUCAUCUCAAUUGGUGUAGAAAAAGCAUUUGACAAAAUACAACACCCUUCCAUGAUAAAAACACUCAACAAACUAAGAAGAGAAGUACCUCAACAUAAUAAAGGCCAUAUAUGAAAAACCCACAGCUAACAUCAUACUCAAUGGUAAAAAAAUUAGUUUUUCCCCCUAAGAUCGGGAAUAAGACAAGGAUGCCCACUUUUGCCACUUCUGUUUAAUGUAGUACUGGAAGUCCUAGCCUGAGGAAUUAGGCAAGAAAAAGAAAUAAAAGGCAUCCAAAUUGGAAAGGAAGAAGUAAAAUUAUCUCUGUUCACAGGUGACAUGAUCUUAUAUGUAGAAAACUCUAAAUAUCCC
ensembl:lncRNA